AACACUGUUGCUUCGGCGGGGAGCCCCCCAGGGGCGAGCCGCCGGGGACCACUGAACUUCAUGCCUGAGAGUGAUGCAGUCUGAGCCUGAAUACAAAUCAGUCAAAACUUUCAACAAUGGAUCUCUUGGUUCCGGCAUCGAUGAAGAACGCAGCGAACUGCGAUAAGUAAUGUGAAUUGCAGAAUUCAGUGAAUCAUCGAGUCUUUGAACGCACAUUGCGCCCCCUGGCAUUCCGGGGGGCAUGCCUGUCCGAGCGUCAUUGCUGCCCUCAAGCCCGGCUUGUGUGUUGGGUCGUCGUCCCCCCCGGGGGACGGGCCCGAAAGGCAGCGGCGGCACCGUGUCCGGUCCUCGAGCGUAUGGGGCUUUGUCACCCGCUCGAUUAGGGCCGGCCGGGCGCCAGCCGGCGUCUCCAACCUUAUUUUUCUCAGGUUGACCUCGGAUCAGGUAGGGAUACCCGCUGAACUUAAGCAUAUCAAUAAGCGGAGGAA
rnacentral:misc_RNA from 1 species